rnacentral:lncRNA from 1 species
CAGAAAUCUCCCCAUCACUCUGGCUCUGGUCAAGUUCCUGUUCUAGCCAACAGCUGAUCACCUUUGUUGAGCCCGAAACACUGGCUUAAAGUCAGAUUUAAUUCCUUAUGUUUCCUAAACAAAAGCAGGCAGAUUAAACCUCACCUCCUUCCUGGGCUUCCUUUCCAAGGUCUUAGUCACCUCUCACGUUCCUUCUCUGGCCCAGGACACAGUCCCUUUUCUAGACACCACAGUUGUGGACAUGGUCUGACCAGUGCCGACCGGGACGAAGCUGAGACACUGUCAAAAUCCUGGGGCUGCUCCAGUCCUGUUACCAUUUGGCUGCUAAACUUGUUCUCAUCCUGUGCUUGAGUUGCCCCAGUACCUGGCCAGCUCCAGGUUUCAAAGAGCAGCGUUUCAAAAUGGAUGGUGGUGAGAUGACGGAGUAUAGGUGAUUUUUUUCCCUUUUCCUGAAAUAUGUUUCAGGGUCUUUUCAAUAAUAAAGGAUCAUGUGCUGCAAAGGUAUUUAUUAAGAAGGUGACAGUUAAUCCAAGAACAGGGCUACAUUUCCCCACAUUCUACAGGUCUCACCAGGCAUGCAGAGAACCUAGUCUCCAGUUUCCUCAGUCUCCAGCUCUUUCACCUUGUUCAUCUAACUGACUUAUUUUGUUCCUUUCCUUCAUUAUCUGACUUAAUUCUGUGCUCAGCACAGUUCUCCUGAGGGGACUUCUCCUUAAAAAGUGAGGUAGUGGGUAAUGACCAGUCCAAGAAGGAAGGUGAACAGACUUGCUCAUGGAGUCCUGUCCUGGGCCAGGCCCCUUGCACCACGCUGCCUCCCAGCGAGGAGUCCUAGCCCUGGUGCCAUCAUCUAGGAGCACUUGGGGGCAGUGGGCAAGGAUGGCCUCCCUCGGGUAAGCAGAAUGGACACAGCUUUGUCUAAGGCUCAGUGAACACCGUGUCGUCUCCAAAGGCUCCUUCUCCUACCCCGUGUGCUUAAACCACCUCAUUGAUCUUAUGUUUCAUUUUCUGAGGGACUGAACUGCUUUCAGUUUAUAUUGUGCAGCUCAUUCUGAGGCGACCAGGAGGACUGAUUUUGAAAAUGAAUAAAUGUGCUUACAUAUUUGCUCAGAGGGUCAGUCCUUUUGGGAAGGCAGAGUGAAGUUUAAGAACCCUGAGCCGAGAGCAUGAGCUCUUUGCAGCCUGUGUGGUGUACAGAUGGUCCCCAGGCCCUCUUCCCUGUCUCUUGCACAGCAGAGUGAUGCCUGGUUCCCAGGAGGGUCCCUUGUCCGAGGAGUGUUUGCAUUUUUAGAGGAAGAAGCUGAUUAACUCAAAGGACUGUCUACCAGUGUCCUCUUCCCUCCGAGGGGCCCCCGCCUCUGCCCUCGUGGGGAGGGGAAGGGAGGUCAUCCCAUCAGAUAACUGAGGUGGGGAGGGGGCAGCUGUCAUGGCUGUCUGCACAUUGCAUAAUCAUUGACUAAUCUCAUAGUGUUGCGAUUGGAAAAGAUGCUUGACUGUGAUUUCAGUUUUCCUAAACUUAUCAUGGAUUGACUUGGGCCUCUGUGGUCUACCCUGGAGAUUGUUACAUGUGUACUUGAAAAUGUUAUUAAGCUAUUUUGGGAUACAAUGUCAUAUAUAUAUAUGUAUGUAUGUAUGUGUGUGUGUAUAUAUAUCUAUGUAAAGGGCAGUGGAUAGACAGGCCUGAAGUUUCUCGGUUGAUUUUCUGUCUGGAUGAUGUCAAUUGAUAUGUUAGGUGUUAAAUUCCCCACUAAUAUUGUGACCGACUGUUUCUCCCUUUGUGUCUGUUAAUGUUUGUUGCACUAUGUUUACAGGUCUCCCGUGCUGGGUACAUCUAUAUUUACAAUUAUUUUUUUGUUUGUUUGUUUUUUGUCUUUUUGCCUUUUCUAGGGCUGCUUCCAUGGCAAAUGGAGAUUCCCAGGCUAGGGGUCCAAUUGGAGCCAUAGCCACCGGCCUACACCAGAGCCACAGCAACGCAGGAUCCGAGCCGCGUCUGCAACCUACACCACAGCUCACGGCAAUGCCGGACCCUUAACCCACUGAGCAAGGCCAGGGACCAAACCCGCAACCUCAUGGUUCCUAGUCAGAUUCGUUAACCACUGCACCACGACGGGAACUCCGCUACAGUCUGUUUUAAACUAUGUUUUGACUGGACUAAGUAUUCCCUUGUCUGUUUUUUUUUUUUUUAAAUUAAUUAAUUAAUUACUUUUUUUUAUUACUGC